rnacentral:rRNA from 1 species
CUCCUACGGGAGGUAGCAGUGGGGAAUCUUGCACAAUGGGGGCAACCCUGAUGCAGCGACGCCGCGUGAACGAUGAAGCCCUUCGGGUGUAAAGUUCUUUCGGCAGGGAAGAAACAUGACGGUACCUGCAGAACGCAGCUGCGGCUAACUACGUGCCAGCCGCCGCGGUAAUAC